rnacentral:lncRNA from 1 species
UACAAGUUUCCGGUGCUGCUUCACGAGUAAGAGCGACUUUGGCGGUGGAUUGCCGCUGUUCGACACAGAAGAGAGGAUGGGAGGCUCUGGGAGCCUACGAAGAACACCAGGAUAUGCAGCCAGCAUUUUCUGAACGGCGAAAGAUCAAAUGAUCCAAUAAACCCCACCGACGUAAUUAUUGCC